AACGCAUGCGGCAUGCUCACGUAACCUAAGCGUAAACGAUUAAGCUUGUCCGUGUGUUGCGAAUAUAUUGAAGCAAUUCGAGCAUUAUAUGAACAAUUGAACAAGUAUAUCUGUUCGAAAAUACAGAGUACAAUGGUGAACAUCGUGAAACACAUAACAGAUUGUUAUUACGACCCUUUCAAAUGGUCAGUAGUAAAAAGCAUUGCACUAUUUGCAGUAGGUGUAAAAAUUGCCGUCGACUGCAAAGGAAUGAAUCUAAUGCCGCCAAUUCCUUAAAAAGGAAUUAUUAAAAUAUUACAUCGUACAUAUAUCUACCUGUUACCUCCAUUUUAUUUCUAUGUACAAACUUGUUUUUAAAAUAAUGUAUACAUAUGUAUGUUUUCCUCAUUUUAUAAGUACACUUUUUGUAACUAUAAUUUGAAUCUGUAUAUAGAUGACAUCAUUAAUACAUUUCAUAGCAAUAGUAUGUACAUUUACAUGAUUAACGUAUUGUAAUAUGUAUAAACCAUUUUGAUUACGUCUUCAUUAAUGUGCAUUGUACUUGAGAACUUUAUAUUCUGAAAUAUACUGAUAAAGAAAUAUGUUUUCAUUUAUUUCAUUUCUAUCUUUCUAAUCAGAUCAAAACAGUAUUAAAACUCUGCUUUUGUAGAGGGCAUUAUGAAAUAAAUACACAUUACAAAAAAGAAAAUCUAAAUUAUAUAUUUUUAACAUUGUGUAGCUAAUUUGCGGCUAAGUUGUUACUGUUUCCGAGCACUACUUUUCUUAGCUACGUUAAUACGAG